CGGAUCAGAAUGCCGCGGUGAAUACGUUCCCGGGUCUUGUACACACCGCCCGUCACACCAUGGGAGCCGGAAACGCCCGAAGCCAGUGGCCUGACCGUAAGGAGGGAGCUGUCGAAGGCGGGUCCGGUGACCGGGGUGAAGUCGUAACAAGGUAUC
rnacentral:rRNA from 1 species